rnacentral:lncRNA from 1 species
UAGUAUAAAAAGGGGGCGUCGGCGUAGUACUCGUUUCUACUAGUGUAUUUUUGGAUAUUAAGAAUUUAAUGAACCAUUGAUCUUUUGUUGAUAUACACACAUGGAUGAUAAUCAAACAAAACAAUGUACAUAUUUUUACUCAGUUAUUUUACAAUGAUGUAUGGAACCUUUUGUUUAAGAAUGCAUACUGUUAGAAGAUUAUAAAACCCAAUAAUAUAGCUUUCCUUUUUACAAACAAGAUAGUCUACAUGAUAAUAGCAUGGAUAGAUCAUUUUCGUACUUUGUAUUAAAAUCAUUAGCAUGCAAUAGAUCAAUCAACAUUUAUGAAUUUUUAAUUCUCUAUCAAAUGAAACCAAAUAUGGUGUAUAAGCUCAUUUUAGAUUGCCCCAUGUAACACCCUAAAUUUUGCAAGUCUUUAAAAUAGAAGAAUUUGAUUUAAUUUUGUGUUUUGUGCUCAUCAAAAUAUAGGAACAAUAAUAUCUUUCAUUAAAUUAAAAAUUAUCAUAGGAGUUAGCAAUGUGGUUGAGCAUGCAUGCCAUUGAGGUGUGCGGCUUUGUCAAAAAUUCUAAAUGAUUCAAAAUAUUUUGAAAUGAUGUGAAAAUAGCUUUGGAAUAAAAGAAAACAAAAAGAAAAAAAGGAAAAACCUCCCCGGCUCGCUAUUCUGGACCGAAGGCCCACCCGAUCCUUCCGAGCCCUCCAACUCGCGCCCUCCUCUUCAUUCCUUAUUGGCCCGAGUGGACACCCCUUCCCCUUUCUUCACGCCGCGGCCCACACCAGAGCAACCGGCCCAACCGGCUCCUCCUCCCUCCCCUCGGCCCAAGCUGGCCAGCGCUCGGCGCAGGCGCAGAUCCCCUCCCUCCCCCU